GUUUUAUUUUUAGGUCAUUUUCAAGUGCACAAGUAUAUGUAUUUUUAAACUGUAUUGAUACAGUUUCCCUUCUACCAAAUCAUUUCUGGGUGUUAGAGUUUUACUUUGGAAAGCAAUGACCUAACUUCAGUUGUUAAUUCCCUUUCAAAAUAUCCCAAAAUUUGGGAGCAGAUGCAAGGAUCCUAUUGAAAAUCUUGACCAUCUUGGCUGUUUGGUGCAAAUCUAAAUCUUGGCUUGAAAAACAUUUUUUAAAAUUUUUGUCGGGGGGUGGUGAAAAUUCAAUUUUAGAACUUGCCUCGUAUAAGGACUUCUUAAAUCUACUUUCAGAAUCUAAAUACGGAGUAUGCCUUUAAUGAUAUCCGUUUAAAAAUCAAGGGAAUGGAGAUGCCCCAGCUGGGAGGGUAUGGGCAGAAAAAGCUUCCAGUGGCCUCUUUCAUUUAAUCACAGUCAGCUUUCCUUCUAGGGGGUUCCAAAUUAGCAGUGGGGCAACUUUUAUUUUUUAUUUUUCAGUUUGAACAAGCAGGUGUUUCUUUCAUGAGGCCCAUAUGUUCCUUCACAAGCUUUAUCCAAAGCACCUACAGUAUAGCCUAUGGCAAUGUGGCACACGGCCAAUUUCCUUACAAGACUUUCCUUUUUAUUCCAAGGAGAAUAUGUGGCAAGUGAAUGUAAGUGUGUAUGUGCAUGUGUUUAGGUUCAUGUGUGUGUGUGCAUGUGUGUUGAAGAAACAGGGCAAGAGAACCACAGCAUUCUCUUUGGGUUGGUGGAGCAUCUACUCAUUAUGCCAGAAAACCACAGCGAGGAUGAGCCCACAGUGAGGCCUGAGGUCCAAACUGACCCCACGCCAAACUCCCGCUCAUCGGCAUAUUUCCCAGCAGGCUGUAACGUGGCUCUGGCAGACCCUGAGAGCAGCUGUGUCUGCCUGGCAGACAGGCAGUAGUUCGACCAGGUGGAUUUCUUAAGUUAAAAAUAACGGUCAUUCUGAAGAAAGAAGAGCACCACUCAAAGUUGACUGUUCCUUGUUCAAUCAGGAUCACCCACAGGAACCCAAAGGAGUGAGCCAGGGCGAAGUGAUGGAAGUCUGUAGAGGUGAGAAAAUAGAGAGCCUUCUACUGUAACUGCGGGGAAAUGGGAAAACACCUGGAAGCCCCGAUAUCUGGCCAAGAGGACAAUUAUUUCAAGGAAAUGAUGACAUCACGGAGCAUCUCAUUAAAGGUAUUGAUUAGCUGUCAUAAAGCCAGCUCAGAAUGAUAUUCGGUGCCAAUUAAAUUGAAGCCUUAUGUCUCAAAUAAGAUUGUAUUAGCUAAUCUUAAAUUUUGUCUAUUAGACUAUGUGAUAAUUUAGUCUAGUAGAUAAAAUUAAUGAAUUUUGUCUACUAGCUAAAAUGUACAAAGAUACAGUAUUAUUCCUUGAUUGCUACAGUCUCUUCAAACAAUGGUGAAAAGUGAUUCACGCUUCAACUUUGUGAUAAGCGGACAACAUGAGAUUGGAGGCACCAAUGCACACACAAUGAAGCAUAAUGCAUGGAAGAAUACAGUGGUGACAGGGGAGUGUGACCUCUGUUUCUGUAAUCUGAGACUGCAUCCUGCUAUUGACCUACUCUCUCAGCUUCACCUAACACCAAUGGAAAUCCUGUACGUGAAACAAUGACAGGAUAUUUCUGGAAAAGUUAUAAAAAGUCAGGGCUCUGGAGAGAACUAUUCAGAAUGCAUUGUUCAUGAACUCAUGGAAUCUUUACAUAACACCCA
rnacentral:lncRNA from 1 species